UCGUGGAGCUCCGGCUCCUUCGAGGGAGAACCCUUGCCUUUUCGAGCACCUGUUUGUUUCCUCGGCAGGCCCGCCUGCCAAUGGGGACCCCUUUAAACUCUUGCAAUAACCUGUAUGAGAUCGUCUGAACAAAACAAACAAAUCA
rnacentral:misc_RNA from 1 species